CUUGGUCAUUUAGAGGAAGUAAAAGUUCCGUAACAAGGUCUCCGUUGGUGAACCAGCGGAGGGAUCAUUACCGAGUUUUCAACUCCCAAACCCUUAUGUGAACCUACCUAUCGUUGCUUCGGCGGACUCGCCCCAGCCGGACGCGGACUGGACCAGCGGCCGCCGGGGACCAUCAAACUCUUGUAUUAUCAGCAUCUUCUGAAUACGCCGCAAGGCAAAACAAAUAAAUUAAAACUUUCAACAACGGAUCUCUUGGCUCUGGCAUCGAUGAAGAACGCAGCGAAAUGCGAUAAGUAAUGUGAAUUGCAGAAUCCAGUGAAAUCAUCGAAUCUUUGAACGCACAUUGCGCCCGCCAGCAUUCUGGCGGGCAUGCCUGUUCGAGCGUCAUUUCAACCCUCGACCUCCCUUUGGGGAAGUCGGCGUUGGGGACCGGCAGCACACCGCCGGCCCUGAAAUGGAGUGGCGGCCCGUCCGCGGCGACCUCUGCGUAGUAAACCAACUCGCACCGGAACCCCGACGUGGCCACGCCGUAAAACACCCAACUUCUGAACGUUGACCUCGAAUCAGGUAGGACUACCCGCUGAACUUAAGCAUAUCAAUAAGCGGAGGAGCC
rnacentral:misc_RNA from 1 species